rnacentral:lncRNA from 1 species
AGAAAACCAGUACCGCAGAAGAGACUCAAAGGGAAGAGAAAAUGGGGACACCCGGCAGGGUUGCACCUGCAUCGACAAUGAAAAUGUUACCUGAUAUGUAUCGUGAAGAAUCAUGAAUCAAGUAUCGCACCAGGGAUGUCAAUGCAGGGUCCGAUGUUCCAAAGGUCCGCAUAGGGCAUGUUCUCUGAGCCACAGUGUUGAGCCAGUCUUUUUGCAUAAGGCCCGAAGUUAUCUCUGAUUUGAAUAGUCCAGGUGCUAUUGCAUUCGCUCUAAUAUUGUAUGCCCCCAAUUCCAGAGCCAUUACCUGGAAUUGUCAUUAUUUGGAAAAAAAAAAAAAUCAUUCUUCAGUGCCAGACUCAGAUGAGUGAGUAGCAGUGUAGGAAUAAAGGUUCUACAACAUUUUUGUAUGGAAAAAUAGUUGAAAAUGGCAGGAAAUAUACAAUAAAAUGUCAAAUCGAAAUAAGUAUAAUGCCAUAUAAACACAAGCCCUUAACCAGAUUUACAGAAAAUGGCUUACAUCUUGGAUGGACAAACUGUACGAAUCAUGCAAGGGAUAGGCUCCCAUAUUAAAAUGACUCUGGGAUCAUAAAUAAACAAAUGUUUAAGAGGCGUCCCCGUUACAUAGUGCAUAAAAACUCAGGCACUACAUCCAACUAUCGAAGUCAGACAGCCAACAAAGGUGAUCUCUAACUUCAAAACAUAGACAGCAUAUGAAAGAAGGCUGGUUAGUGGAAAUUUUAAACAAUGAAUCCUGCAGUGACGGUCCACUUAAAAUGUAGCUUCGUCUAAGAAUGUGUCAGUCCACAACUUCAAAAAAUGUUGGAAAGCUAACAUCCAUUGAAGCACAGCAUUCUUUCUUCCUGAUUUUAAAGUCGGAGGUUGUUGCACCUUUGAUUUACAAAUUUUUGCUAGCAAAUAUGUCCUUAUGGGCAUGGAGGAUUUAAUUGUGCAGGAAUGAAACAGAAAACAAGUCUUUUCUAUGAAGUGUCUCUUUUGAUUACUUAGUUGAUAGAAAUCUUUAAUCUUCCCUUUGCAUCCAGGGACACUCUAAUGGCUUCGAGAGAAAAACUGCAUUGAUUUUACCAUCUUCCUUGCAUUCUGGGGAAAAAUUCAGAGGAUAUUCGUUGGCUUUCUACAUUUCCAUUUUUUCCAUUAUGAGGAGAAUUAUACUACAAUUUUUCCACUUAUUCUCAGUUUAUAUUAGCUGAGAAAAAAUAAGAAAAGAAAAUAAUGGAAAUUUAGAAUCCAAAAUUUUUAAAUAUUUGGGAUUGGAGAAAACAGAAACCUACACUCAACCAAGCUUGUAUGGUGGGUUAGUCUGGUUGAGUUUCCUAUUAUAGUUGGAACAAACAUGAAAUGGCUAGGUUGUGUUAUACAUUGGAUGAGACACACCCAUGUUAACGUCAUAGUAUUAGAUCUUGGAAUCAUCUCUCAAAAUGUCAUGAGAUAACUUUUUGGGAGGGCAAAUGUGAUUGAAAUUUCAAAAUCAUGGCUGGAAGAAUAGUAGCAAGGGUAAUGGGUUUGUCAAUACUUUUUCCAAUAUUUCAAGCAUCUCUUCAGAUACAACCAUUGGUACUAUUGAAAAUACUGGAAGAAGGAACAUGAUGCAUCAUGUAUUAAUCAUUUCAGCAGAGCCUCAUAUGUUACGUGGUUGAAGACCCUUAUAUCCUUCAUCAUUUCUUCUUUAUUCUCCCUUUACCUUCUCAUCCUUCAUUCCUACAAUCCCUUCUCUGACAGGAUUUCCAAGAUGCCCAUAAGAAAAGCUCAAAUAACAGUCAUUCUUAAAGCCUGACCCAUUAUCUCCAGUCUUUUAUCUUUUGCCAUUCUGAUCACACAUUCUACCCCACCAAGCAGAUAUCUUACAGUAUUUCACAACACAAUUCUGAGAUUUAAAAAAUUAGAAAAUACCAAAAUUCAAUUAUAUAUCUGCACCCUAUUAGCCCAAAUAAAUGGCAUUUCAACAGUAUGGUGUAUAAUCCCAACCCUAGGAUGAAACAUUAUAUCAGCUUUCUGGGCUGCCACUCUGAUGAGUCAAGCUCAAGCUGGCCAGAGCUCAGCUUGUUGAUAGUUUAGACCAGCUUAAGAUUGGGCUGACCUCAAUCACACAGAGUGGGCUGAGAUCACCUGUAGGCUCAGCCCAACAUCUUAACCUGAGCUUAAGUACAAUGUUCACCUCAACCACACCCUGCUCCAACAUGCCUGUACCUGUCAAUCCUGCUACAAACAACUCCACAAUUAUGUGAAUGCUGAGAAUCCAUUCAUUUGGCCCUCUCCUUCAACAACCUUAGGAAACUUUCCUCUAGUAAGAAAACUAUUAGAUUUGCCUAGUAAAACAAAAUUAAAGCCUCUAACACUUGAGUCAAAGCAAUAGGGAAUUGAAGUUAUGAUUUUUAUUUUUUUUUAAUUUAAGAUAGAAAUCAUCUUGUGUAAUUGCUCAUUUAUUUUUCCUUCUUGCUCGGGGAGGGAGGAGAGAUUGUAUGCUUUUUUUUUUAUGGUUGUUCAGCAGAGUUUCCAGAGAACAUUACAAAUAGUUCAAGGGGAAUGGAGGCAGUUGCAAGGAGGAAGGAGGAGAGUUUGUCAGUGGGACUUUCUGUAGAAUGUUUGGAAGGGGUGGAGUCAAUGGCAAAUUUGUAUGAUAGCAAAUUGGAGAAGUUUAGCAAGUUCUUGGGGAUGCCUGUGCAUGGGUUUGAAAAUAAAAUUCUGCUUUUGCUGAAAAGGAUGGAGGCUCGUAGGAGUUCUAGGGGCUUGACCCUAGGGAGUAAGAGGAAGUUUAGGCCUGACAAAAAUAGAUAUAGAGCACAAAGAAGUUGGCGUGUUCAGUCAAUUACAAAGGGUCUUCAAGCAAGGAAGAGUGGAAAGAUUGGGUGGGAGUUAGUUCCUGUUAGAAAAUGAAAUUGAAGAUUCUUUCUUGGAAUGUUAAGAGGGAUAAACGAUGGAGAGAAACGAAAAAUUAUAAAAUCCCUGAUUAGAUCUCAAAGGGCUAAUUUGGUGUGCUUACAGCAAAAUAAGAUGUCGUGGAUGUCAAUUAAGAUGGCAAGGAGCCUAGGGGUGGGCAGAUUCUUAGACAGGAGAGCAAUGGAAGCCAGGGGUAUUGUUAGGGGAGUUGUAGUCAUUUGGAAUAAUAGGGCUCGUGAGCUUAUAGAGACAAAGGUCGGUGCCUACUCCAUCUUCUGUCACUUUAAGAGCUAUGAGGAUGAUUUCAUAUGGUUUUUUACUCAGGUGUAUGCCCCUAUGCUUAGAGAGGAGAUGGAAGAGUUUUAGGCUUAACUGGCUAACAUUAGAGAUCUCAGGAAUAAUCCUCGGCGUGUUAGGGGAGACUUCAACAUGGUCAGAUUUCCUGAUGAAAAGAGGAAUUGUUCCAAGAAUUCUUCAGUAAUGAGGUGUGUUUGUCUGAGAUAAUUGAGGAGCUAAAAUUGCACGAUUUGCCAUACAUGGUGUGAAGGUUAGAAUAAUCACUCUAUGUCGAGGGUGGAUCAGUUUCUUGUCUCAAAGGAUUAGGAGAGUCAGUUUAGUGGCAUUCUUCAUAGGUUUUGCCCAAGCCAGUCUCUGAUCAUGCCCCUAUUUUGUCGUGGGGGAUGGGAGGAGAGUAAUGUUUUGGUUAGCGCUCUAAGGUGGUAAAGGAAGGUUUUAAAGUUGGUUAGUGAAAAGCCAUUAGGAGAAAUUGAGAGGCUUUUAAAAGAAGAAUUCACUUUGCUGUGGGGGAUGGGAGUAGAGUAAUGUUUUGGUUGGAUAGGUAGUAUGGUGAACCAUUGCUGAGAGAAUCUUUUCUCACAUUAUUCGCCGUAGCAAACUCAAAAGAUGCAUAGGUAGCAGAUAUGUGAAAGCAACAGGGGGAGAGGGGUCAUUGAAGCCCACACUUUCUUAGACAAUUUCAUGAUUAUGAGUUAAACAUGGUGGAGGUCUUUUUGUAGAAACUUCAAAAGUAAGCAGUGAUUUGGGGACUCUGAGGAUAAGACAGCUUGGUUAGAUUCAAAGAUUAGGAAGUUAUCAGUUAAAGCAUUCGACUCAUUUUGGGUACCAAGAGAUUAAGAGCCUUUCGUAACCUCGAUUGUUUAGAACUCAUGGGUCCCAAUAAGGGUGGGAUUUUUUGCAUGGGAAGCAAGGUGAGAAGAAUAUUGACUUUGGACUAGUUAAAGAGGAAAGAAGUAUCUUUAGGGAACAGAUGUUAUGCGUAAAAGGGAAGAGGAUUGUUGAUCACAUUCUUUUAGAUUGAUCAUUAGCCAAAAUCAUGUGAUAACCAAUUUUUUUCUUUAUUUGGGAUUGAUUAGGUGAUCCACUCUUUUAUAAGACCAAUGUUGUUAAGUUGGAAUUGGCACAUUGUCCAAAAGAGGCGGAAAAAAGCAUGAUUAGCUGCCCCUUUACUUUUUUUGGACAACUUGGUGAAAUGGGAAGGGUUUUGAAAAUGUGGAAAUUUUGUAACAAUCAUUCAAAUCCUAUUUUAUGUGCAGUUUCUUGGAUAGUGUUAGGCUUUGUACAGGAGAGACAUCUAUGUCUAUGUGGGAUUUUGUUGAUAGGUAAGUUUGAAUUGGGCAUGGGAUAGAUUUGUGCUUUUUUUUUCCUACUUUUGCUUAGUGCCCCUUGUAUACCUCCUAUAUACUUUAGUAUGCCCUUUUUGUACAUUGUUUUUUAUCUUCUCUUUUUAUACGUUUUAUAUAUUCCUCAUGCUUAUAAAAUAAAAGAAAAAAAAAAGACGAAAAUAAUAUUAAAAAUUAAAAAUAAAAUAACAAGACAAGCAUAAUAUAGUGAACAUAAGGGCUAUUGGGAGAUGGUAGCGACUGAUGGUGCCAGCGAUAAAGAUAGGGGUGCGGAGUGGGGCUUAGGCUUGAAUAAUCAUCAAGUUCUCAGAGGUGAGAAGGAGGAGGAAUGGGAGGAAAGCGAACUGGAAAAAUUCAGUCUCUUUUUGGGCUUUUCGACCGAGGGUCUGGAACAGGAAAUCCUGGAUUUUUUUAUUAAAAUUAGAAAAAGAAGGGAGAGAAUUCAUGGGAAGGCGCUGCUAGAAAAGUCUAAGUUUGAAAGAGAACUAAAGAGGCUGGAGUGUUCAGUGAACUAUGAGAAGGGAAGAAAGCAGAGAGACCCUUCACAGGGUAAAGGGUGUCAAAUUACAGUGGUUUAAUGAAGCUAAAAUUGCUGAGUUGGAAUGUGAGGGGAGUGAACGAAAAAGAGAAAAGAAAAAUUAUCAAGACGUUCAUAAGAAAUCAGAGGGUGGACCUGAUGUGUAUCCAGGAAACAAAGAUCCAACAAAUGACGGAGGAAGUGGUGAGAAGCUUAGGCUCGGGGAGAUUCUUAGAUUGGAGGGCCUUGGACGCUAGUGGGACUGCGGGAGGUAUUCUGAUAUGUUGGGAUAAAAGGACGUUGGAGAUUUUGGAGUGGGAAGAGGGCCAAUUCUCCUUAUCUUGCAGAUUCAGAAAUGUAGAAAAUGGUACUAUUUGGGUAUUCACGGGGGUUUAUGGGCCUUUUACAAAAGUCGAUCGGGAGUGCCUGUGGGAAGAGAUUGGGGCGAUCAGAGGUCUAUGGGAAGACCCGUGGUGUGUUGGGGGUGACUAUAACAUUACCCUGUUCCAAAGAGAAAGGAGCAGGCAAGGAAGAAUAACCUCAGCUAUGAGGCGUUUUGCUCAGAUUGUUGAUGAAGUUGGGCUGAUGGAUAUUCCGCUGCAAGGGGGAGUGUUUACUUGGAGUGGGGGCUCUAACAAUCAGACUUGGGCUAGGCUGGAUAGGUUCUUGGUGAACUCUAGCUGGCUUGAUCAGUUCAGUGGAGUGCUUCAACGGAGACUGCCUCGGCCUCUUUCUGAUCACUUUCCGGUUGUAUUAGAGGGUGGUGGCCUGAGAAGAGGGCCCUCUCCAUUCAGAUUUGAGAACAUGUGGCUUAAGGUGGAGGGAUUCCAAGAUUUGGUUAGAAGCUGGUGGUGGGAGAUUGAGGUGAGAGGUAGUGCUAGUUUUAGACUAGCUACAAAGCUGAAGGAAAUUAAACAGAAUUUGAAAGUUUGGAACAAGGAGGUGUUCGGGAACUUGGGGUGUAAUAAAGCAGCAGCUUUGCAACAAGUGGAAUUAUGGGACCUUGUGGAAAGUGACAGAAUUUUGUCAAUGGAGGAAACAGAAUUAAAAAGGAGGCCAAGGAAAACUAUAAAAAAUGGGUGCUGUUGGAAGAAACGCAUUGGAGACAAUUAUCAAGGGAGAUUUGGCUAAGGGAAGGGGACAGAAAUACGGGCUAUUUCCACCGUAUGGCAAAUGCAAAGCGCAGUAACAAUUAUAUGGACAGAAUUAAGAUAGACGGGUGUGUCUUUCUGAGGAGCAGGAAAUGAGGGAAGGAAUUGCAAGUGCCUAUCAGCAGAUGCUGUCAGAGGGGUCGGGAUGGCAGGCUGACAUUGGGGGGCUGCGCCUAGAUCAGAUCAGCCACCAAGAAGCAGAAAAUUUGGAAACCCCUUUUUCUGAGGCGAAGGUUCAUUCAGCUUUGAUGGAGAUGAAUGGGGAUAAAGCCCUGGGGCCGGAUGGUUUUACAGUAGCCUUUUGGCAAAGUUGUUGGGGCUUUGUUAAAGAGGAGAUCUUGGCAAUGUUUAAGGAAGUCCAUGAGCACAACACUUUCCUCAAAAGCCUAAAUAAUACAUUCCUGGUCCUAAUCCCUAAGAAAGGAGGGGCGGAAGAUAUUGGGGACUUUAGACCUAUAAGUCUUUUGGGGGGAUUGUAUAAAUUACUGGCUAAAGUCCUAGCUAAUAGGCUGAAAAAAGUGAUUGGGAAGGUGGUGUCCCCUGCUCAGAAUGCUUUUGUGAUGGGAAGACAGAUCCUUGACACCUCCCUAAUUGCAAAUGAGGUGAUAGACUUGUGGCAAAAAAGAAAAGAGAAGGGGGUCAUUUGCAAAUUGGACAUUGAGAAAGCUUAUGACAGUAUGAAUUGGCAGUUCUUAAUGAAAGUUCUACAAAAAAUGGGAUUUGGGCCAAAGUGGAUGGGGUGGAUGUGGAGUUGCAUAUCUUCAGCAAAAUUUUCAGUCUUAGUGAAUGGGGUUCCUGCUGGUUUUUUCCCGAGUUCUAAGGGGCUUCGUCAAGGAGAUCCCCUAUCUCCUUACCUCUUCGUAAUGGGAAUGGAAGUAUUGGGGGUUCUUAUUAGGAGAGCUGUUGAAGGGGGUUUCCUGUCAGGUUGUAACAUUCGGGAGGGAGGAAGGACAACUUUGAACAUUUCGCAUUUAUUUUUUGCAGAUGAUACGAUAGUUUUUUGUGAAGCUAAAAAGGACCAUCUAAGUCAUUUAAGUUGGAUCCUCUUUUGGUUUGAAGCGGUCUCGGGGCUAAAGAUUAAUCUGGGUAAAAGUGAAAUCAUCCCGGUGGGUGAGGUGGAGGAUAUUGAGGAAUUGGCAGCGGAGAUAGGAUGUAGGGUGGGAUCUUUGUCGUCCCAGUAUUUGGGUCUACCCUUAGGGGCUCCUAACAAGGCCUCCUCGGUGUGGGAUGGAGUAGAAGAAAGAGUGAGGAGAAGACUUGCGCUUUGGAAAAGGCAAUUUAUCUCUAAAGGUGGCAGAAUCACUCUGAUUAAAAGCACCUUGGCCAGCAUACCCAUUUAUCAAAUGUCUCUUUUCCGGAUGCCGAAGAUUGUGGUUAGAAGGCUAGAAAAAUUGCAAAGAGACUUCCUAUGGGGAGGGGGAAGUAUGGAGAGGAAAAUUCACCUAGUGAAUUGGGAGAUAGUGUGUGGAGAAAAAGAGAGGGGUGGGCUUGGUUUGAGGAAGCUUGGCCUAUUGAACAGAGCUUUGCUUGGAAAAUGGAUAUGAAGGUUUGCUUGUGAAAGAGAGAAUCUUUGGAAGCAGGUGAUUGUGGCAAAGUUUGGGCAAGAAGAUGAUGGAUGGAAGCCUAAUGGGGCGUUUGGGGUAGGGGUGUGGAAGGAGAUCAUGAAGGAGACUGAUUGGUGCUGGGAUAAUAUAGAGUUUAUGGUGGGGAAGGGUACUAGAAUCAGAUUUUGGACUGAUGUGUGGUGUGCGGGCUCAGCGCUGUCCCAAACCUUCCCGCACCUUUUUGUCUUGGCUGCUCAUAGGAAUGCUACGGUGGAGGAGAUGUAGGAUCAGAGUUCGGAUCAAGGAGGUUGGAAUCUAAGAUUUUUGAGGAAUUUUAAUGACUGGGAGGUGGGUAUGGUAGGAGAUCUGCUCCUUAAGCUGAGAGGGUUUAGGCCUUCUUUGGAGGAAGAUUCGGUCUCUUGGAAGGGAGGAAAAAGCGGUAAAUUCAAAGUAAAGAAAGCGUACAGCUACUUAGUCAAUCCUAUGGACACCGUUUUCCCGGAAAAAUGCAUUUGGGUGGAUAGAGUACCUACCAAGGUCGCUUUCUUUGCGUGGAAGGCUACAUGGGGGAAGGUGUUAACGCUUGAUAGACUUCAGAGAAGAGGAUGGCAACUCCCUAACUGCUGCUUUUUGUGUGGUUGUGCAGAAGAAUCUGUAAAUCAUGUCCUUAUUCACUGUAUAGUGACUAGAGCCCUUUGGGAGUUAGUCCUUGGGCUUAUAGGUGUUAAGUGGGUCUUUCCAGAAUCUGUAAAGGAGGUCUUGUUUAGCUGGAAAGGUCACUGGGUGGGAAAAAAAAGGAAAAAGAUUUGGAAGGCCAUCCCGUUAUGCAUAUUUUGGACGGUUUAGAAAGAAAGGAAUAGGUUAGCCUUUAAAGGGGGUGUGAUACAUAGACAGAAGCUAAAGAAUUUUUUUGUUUGUAAUUUGUGGGGUUGGGCUAGAUUGGAUAUUGGAGAUAACUCUCUCUCCCUUCUAGGCUUUCUAGAGUGGCUAGCUGCCACUUAGGGGAGGUGAGGUCUUCUUGGUCCCUUUUGUUUUUUGGUUGUGAGGCUUUAGCUGCCUUGUAUAUCUCCUGUAUACUGUGUGGCUAUUGGCCUCUUUUUUAAUAUACAUUGACGUACUUAUCAAAAAAAAAAUAAUAUAGUGAACAUAAACAUUUGACUACAUUUUCACAUUAUAGUUAAAUCUAACAUUGAAUUUCCUAACUCACCUUUGUAUGCCAGGAUAUAUUAGAAACAAUUUUAAAACAUGUCAGAGAUAUUACCUUUGUCAUGGCGCUCAAGCCUGACUUGGAAGACACAUAGGCUACUCCUCCAGGUAACUGUCCCCGAUUAAGAGCAGCAAUGGAAGAAAUAUUGAUGAUUGAUCCUCCAUUCUUGGCAUCCCUCAUGCGCAUACCGACAUAUUUUGACACCAACCAUGAUCCCGUCAAGUUUGUCUUCAGAGUAUUAUUCCAUUCCUCCUCAGAUAUAUCCAGAGGAGAGUUCACAUUGCCUAAGGCACACAGGGCACAGGGCAUGGGUUAAAUACAUCUACCACGCAUUACGUUCACAAAUAUUAGCAGAACACCAGAGAUAAAUUAAAUGAGUAAUAUUGAUAAGAAAAAUAUAUGUGAUUGACUCGGUAUAGAUACCCAGUUGACUCGCUAAUCUUUUUCAUUAAACAAAUAGUUUCAAAUUUCAGUUCGAACUGAAUGAAAUGAAACGUGCGCUAGAAUUGAAAGUAUGAGAAAAACAAGGUUUCCAAAAGCCAGCUGCAAAACGGGAAAUUCAGGAUACAGGAAUAUCAGGAUCGUGCAAAACCCCAUAAAUUCAAAAAUUGAAAACCAUGAAACGAGAAAUCAGGUAAAUUAAUACUAUACCCUACAUAUUCACCCCUUAGAUGAUUGAAAUUUUAAUUUCGUUUCUUCAUUCAGAUUUCGCGUGAACCAAACGGCAGGUAGAAGUGCUCAAAGAAAAAAAAAUCAAAAUUGCCUCAGUCCGUUGCAUUCCUAAAAUAUCAGAACCUCAUCAACCACAAGAUUCCAAAUUCCCUUUCCUUUUUUCCAAACAGAAACUAAACUCUUUUCCAAAGUCAAAUCAAAAUUUACCUCUAAUGCCCGCAUUAUUUAGCAAAGCAUCGAUACGUCCAAAGGCCUCCCAAGCCUUCUGAACGGAGGCGCCGAUUGAGGAGCCAUCGCUGGUGACGUCAAGUUCGACUGCUACGGCUCGGAGAGGCGGAUCAGCGUUUGGAGGAAGGUUCGAGUGGGUGAGGUUGUUGAUCUCGUCGCAGAGAGACUUGAGUCGGUCAACUCGGCGGGCGGCCGCCACGAUCUUGCAGCCGGCUUUGGCGAGGUUGAGGCAGAACUCGCUGCCGAGACCCGAGGAAGCGCCGGUGACCAUGACCACCUUGCCCUCCAGGUCUUGCCAUGGCUCGAGGUGGUUCGCGACUUGGGACGCCAUCAAUGUGGUUGAGAGUCUCUAGAGAAAGUAGGCACCAGCUUUUAGAGGGAAAAAAAGUAAAGCAAAGAAAAUUUGAUAAGAUGAAAAUAAAUAAUAAAUAAUUAAAAGGGGAAAUAAACUCCUCUAUAUAUUCUAUUGCGACAUUGCGUGAUCAAAUUCCAUUUGUUUAUGUAUCGCCUUUGUAGUGAAUCUAGUGAUGAUGCCAUCGGAUUGUUUGCAGUGAAUUGUCGGAAUUGUUUUUAGUCAUUCUAAUAAUUAAAAAUAAAAAUUUUCAAAUAUUAAAAAUUAAAAAAUUUUAAAUAUUAAAAAUGUUAAAAACGCUUCCUAUAAUAAUUGUUAAAUAGACUCUAAGAGUAUAUUUGAAAGUAAUUCUAAAAAAUAUUUUUAGUAUUUUUAUUAAUGUGUUUUUAAGUAUUAAAAAUAUUAAAAAUACUUUCUAAAAUCACUAUCAAACUAAAAGUGCAUUUAAAAGUAAUUUUAAAAAAUAUUUUUAACAUUUCUAAUACUUAAAUAAUAAAAAACUUCAAGUGUUAAAAAAAUUUAAAACAUUCCAUAAAAUCACUACCAAAUAGAGUCUAAGUUUGUGAAGGGAUCAACACUUAAUAAGUCAUAUUUUAUUAUACAUCUUUCUAAAAUUAGUAUUAAGAAACCAAUUUUUCAGUGUCCAAUAAUUUUCCCUAUUGGUAUAAUUUUCUAAUUACGUAAAAUAAAAAUGGUCAUCAAGGGAAAAUAAUUUUUGAGAACAAACUUUUGCUUAUGAUUUUUUUAUUAUUACUCAAAAAGAGCAUAUUUUAUAUAAUAAUUAUCACGAAUUUCAUAUCUUUUGAGUAGUAACUAUACCUAAAACACUCAAUUAACAUGUUUUUACUUUUGCAAGAAUUACUAAAAAGUCUUAUGAAGUUUUGGGGUAAUUUCAAGGUAUGUUUUUUAUAAAUAGGUGACAAAAGAGAUGAAUCAAAUUAAAGAAAACAAAUAAAGUUGAUGAUGAUCCAAAUGCAUAAUGAAAGAGGCAAUCCAAUCAGUUUGGAUUGGGAUUUGGAGGUAGUUGAAGUGGAAUCAAAAUGAAGAAAUGAGAGAAAUUGCAAAAAGAAGUUGAAAAACCAUGUUUUUCAAUUUCACAUAAACACGAGAAAAAUUCGCACAGUCAUGCAAAUUGAAAUAGAAUGGACUUUGGCUGCAGCACACAAGGGGAAAAGUGAAAAUUGAUUUCGCAUGACCAUACGAAACGCUCCAAGAAGACGAAAAUGGUGCUGAUGGAUUUUCCACUUCGCACAAUCGUGCGAAAUUGUUGGAGCUCAUGCGAAAUUGUUGGAGCUCGUGCGAAAUUGCAUCUUUUCCAAAUUUCUUGAUGAAAAAGUCUCCGGAAGACCUUUUAGAUGAUGCCAAGUGUCCACUUGACCUUGGCCUAUAAAUAGAAACUUGAUUUACUCAUUUAGGGAUUUUUGAUACAUUUCCUAAUUGUAGAAUUUUCCAAAUUUCUUCUCUCUAUAUAAUUCUCUACUUUCCUUCAUUUUCUCUCAUUUUCUCGGUAGCCAAACAUGUCUUGUGAGAUCAAAUCUCAAAGUAUGAGUGGCUAAAUCUUGUUUUUCUUGGAAGAGAAAGGAUAUAGAGAUAAGAUCUAUGGUGAAUUAGAGAAAUGAGAUUAAAUUGCAAAGGUAAUUUGAUCCAAUUGAUUGAUUAAUUGAAAUUUUGAGAUUUUUCUCUUCAAAUUGUCUUGGAUGAUUACGACAAUGUAAGUUAGGUACAUUCAUCAAAUUCUUAAAGUUAGAUUUGAUGAGAUUGAAUAGUUACAUUGUGUGAAUCAUUGGCAGAUAAUUUAAGAUGAAUUGAAUAUAUGAUUUGAAUUGAUCUCUUAGAUUAAACGACCUAAUUUGAAGAGAAAUUAGAUCUAAACCUAAAGUCAAAUCAAAAAUCGGUUUAGAUGAAAAUUUAGGUUUUCAAUCUAACUUGAUGAAAAUUAGAUCUCAACAUCUAUUCACCAUGGAAAUUGUUUUCUAGAAAAUCCUAACUCCGAGAAUUUUAUCUCCUAUUAAUUUUCUUUUAUUUUACAUUUUAUUUUUCUUCUCAAUUUUAGACCAUUGUCAAAUUAAUUUUUCAUCAUGAAUUUUCAAAUCAAUUUCACUUGAUCACAAUCAUUUCUUAUCCUUUCAUUCAAGCCUUAAUUACCGAGAAUAAUCCAUCCUAGUGGACGACACCUAAAAACCACUAUAUUACAGUAGUUUGUACUAAAAUUGUUUUUAAUCGGGUACAAUCUACUUUAGAAUAGUGAAUUAGGUUAUAAAUUUUGUUUUGAUCAAAUAAAUGACAAAAAUCUAAGCGAUCAAUUUUGUAUAUAAAAAAUAAUUUUUUUCACUUAUUCUCGAUAAAACUUAUAAUGUAAAAGUUUUCAAAAUAUUUUUUUAAUAUUUUUUCUUUAUUUUUUGAAAAAUUUUGAUAAAUAAAAUAUGAAAAUACUUUUAAAUUAUUUUUAAAAUAACCUAUUUUCACAACAACAUUUUGAAAAAAACUUUUUUUAUUUUCUCAAAAUUUGGUCAAAUAUAUUCUCUAAGUUGGAGAGUGUCUAAUAUCCUUGUAAAUGUAUUUGGACAAAGUUUUGGAUUUUUAUUAUUUACUUUUGCUUUUAACAGCAAAACUCACUUUAAAAAUCCAAAAAAUAAAAUGAGUUUGGAAAACAAAAUCCAAACUUUAAUCAAAUUUAAAUCCUUUAAUUUUCUCAUUUGUUAAAAGAAUCUCAUAUUUUAUGCCAUUGAUGAAUAAGAAAAAACUUCUUACAUCUCUUAUAAGAAUCAUCUAUCAAUAUUUGAGUAUAUUUUUUUUUAGUGAUGCAUGGUGUUAAUUGAUUGAACUAAAAUUGUAUAAUAAAACCUGUCAAUAGGGAUGACAAUUUAGACACGACACGAUAAUGCAAUUUGAAAAUGAUUGGAUUGUUAAUGUGUUUGGGUUUGCAUGUGAUUGUGUUGUGUCUUAAUAAACAUGUCUUAUUUGGGUUUUCAUUAUUCACCUUGUUUAUGAUUUAUUUGCUUAAUUGUAUCAAAAUAAUUUAUUUAAUCCAUAUAAAUUUAAUAAUUUUAUACAUUCCAAUUAUAAAAAUAAUAAAUACUUUGUUAAUUAUAAAUAUCAUAUAGUAAAAACAUUAAAUAACUAAAUAAAAUUACAUUUGAUUAGUAAGAUUAAAAAUAGUUUAUAGUUAAAAUUUUAAAUAAAAUAAUAAGUAAAUGUAAAAAUUAAAAUAUUAUCCUACUUUUUAUAUUAUGAUCAAAAUUAAAUAAUUACAUUAAUUAAGAUUAAAAAUUAAAGCAAAUGAAAAGUAUUUUAGAAUAAUAUAUUUAUAAAGUUAAAUUCCAAAAUAGGUUAAACGGGUUAUAAUCAUGUUAACUAGUUAAAAUCAUACUAAUGGAUUAUUAUGUCCGAUUUAACCCAUUUAUUAAAUGAGUUAAAUGGGUUGUAUUGAGUUACCUAUAUAAUAAAUGAGUUGUGUUUAUGUUGAAUGUUUCCGACAUGAUUAUUAAAUAAGUCAUAUUUAAAUUAAAUAAAUUUUUACUAUUUUUUUUUUACUUUGAAGACAUUGCCAUCCCUACUUGCUCACAUGCAUUUAAACAAAAAAAUCUUGUAAUUUUCUCUCCAAUCCUUAUCAUUUUUCCCAUCGGCAAGUUCCCUAUUAGGAAAAGAAAUUCCUUGUAUACAUCUCUCAUCCCCAUUCAUGGUCUUUGAAUUCAUAUUUAAAAUUUUCAAAUAUAUAUAUAUAUAUAUAUAUAUAUAUAUAUAUAUAUAUAUAUAUAUAUAUAUAUAAACUAAUAUAUUUUAUAGUGAAUAUGAUAAUUUUUAAAAAAAUAAAUAAAUAUAAAAUUAUAUAUAAAGAAAUAUAUUUAAUAUUAUAUGUAUAUGGUUUGGGUGGGUUUUGGAUAGGGAAUAGUUUCAUUUCCCUGGUCGAGGUUCCCCAUCCCUAAUCCGACUCCAUUAGGGAUGGAUUCCCCAGGGGCACAACUUGGCUGGUUUUUUAUGCCAUCCUUGCUGGAGGGUGGGUUGGGAACUGUUGCCCAAAGCAUGGCCCAUGGGCCCCAACAUUGGCAAAAUCUUGAAACCCUUUAAGAUUAAGCUUGUUAUCUGUUUAUGUAUAUGUGCCGCCAUUUAGAUUGCAGGCCUAAAAAACUUAUAUAGUUUAUGAAGACAUGACCCAACAGGCCCAUCGGGCCACUUGUAUUCCUCUUUAACUUGACACCAAAAGCGCAUUUGGUCGGGUUGAGCUUCAUAUUGUAUGCUUUCAUUAGGCAAAAUGUUUCCUCUAAGUGUAGGACGCGUUUGCUCUGGGUUUUGUUUUUUACCACAAUAUCAUCAAUAUAGACUUCUACGGUUCGGCUGAUCAAGGGUUUGAAGAUUUUUGUCAUCAACCUUUAAUAAGUGGUUCCAACAUUCUUAAGCCCAAAUGGCAUAACCCUAUAGCAGUAUAAUCUGUGCAGCAUCACGAAGGCGGUUUUCUUUUCAUCCGGUUGGAACAUCGGGAUCUGGUGGUACCCGGAGAAUGUGUCUAUGAAAGAGAGCAUCUCAUACAUGGUAGUGGACUCAACUAUCUGAUCUAUUCGAGGUAGAGGGAAGCUAUCUUUCAGGCAAGCAUCAUUCAGGUUGGUGUAAUCAACACAGACUCGCCACUUUCCUCCUUUCUUUGGAACAACCACUACAUUCGCCAACCAAUCCAGAUAUUAUACUUCCUUGAUAAACCCGAUUGUCAGCAACUUGUCCACAUUGAAUUGGAUGAUCUUUUGCUUGUCUGGAUGGAAGCGUCUGACUUUCUGGCAAACGGGUCACGAGGAAGGUAUGAUAUUGAGUCGAUGUAAGGCUACCGAUGGAUGGAUUCUGGGCAUAUCAAAGUGAGUCCAUGCGAAAACAUCCUUGUUCUACUAAAGCACUCCUUCGAGUAAUUUUAAUUCUUUUAGUGCUAGGAGAGAGCUAGCAUAGGUAACACGAUCACUGCUACCUGAGAGAUGCAAGGGUUGGAGCGAGUCUGCUGCUGACAGAUCUUUUUUCGUCAGGCUCUGUAAUUGCUAUUGCUCCUUCGUAUUUGUCAGUCUCGUGUGUGGCUCACUGUUGCUUGGGAGUCCGAAAUUGAGUACCGCUUGAUAGCACUAGCACGUAGCCAACUUACUACCAUAAAGGUCGAUUUGUCCGUCCUCGGUGAGGUAGCUUACCAUCUGAUGAUACGUAGAGGGAAUGACUUUCAUGUUGUGAAGCCACGUGCGCUCCAUGAUGGUGUUAAAAUGGGAUAAGUCCUCUACUAUCGAGAACUGCACAUUCUGGGUGAUCAUACCAACUUGGACGGGUAAUACGAUGUCACCUAAAGACGUUGUCGUUGUCCCAUUGAACCAAAUAAUAUCUGUUUUGGGUUUUCUAGGGCAAUCGGCAGGAGUCUCAUUUGUUUGUAUGACGACAUUUGCAAGAGGUCAACUGAGCUGCCCAGAUCAACCAAAAUCCUUCUUACAUCAAACCCAUUUAUCCCUAAUGUUAGAACUAGGGCGUCUUCAUGUGGUUGUAGUACUCGGUUGGGGUUUACUGGAGGGAAGGUUAUUAUCCCGUCCAUUAGGCAUGCACCUUGAUUACUACUCAAAAAGUGUUAUUUCAUAGCUUGUAAUUAACUCUUUUAAACACUUUUGAGUAGUAGUUAUUGCCUUUUAACCCAAUUAACAUGUUAAGGACCCUUGCAAUCACUUCUAAUCAAUUUGUGUUAAGUUUUGGUGUUUUGAUAGCUUUUUUAUCACCAAAGCAAUCCGAGAUUGAGGAGAGUUAUUUGGAAUCUAUGGCAAAGCAAUGGAAAGCUCAGAAACAUGAAGAACCAAAGCUUUGAAGUCCUUUGUCAUAAGCAAAUCCGGAAUGCAAGGAGGAGAAGCAAAGAGAAAUCUGCCAUGAAGCAUUCUUGAUGAUAGCCAUGUCAGCCACUUUUAGAGCACUUCCUGAAGUCUAAUUUAUGCAUGCUAUAUGUCGUUUCGAAGCUCAGGAAGUCAACAAUCCAAUGCUUCAAAUGGUGUUCAAUUUGGAGUUGAAAUGAAGGAAUUACAGCCAUUACAAGUUGAUCACUCUAAGUUGAAGGAAGAAUUUUGCACAGCGCUGCGAAAUCACCCUUUUGUUGCGAGAUGAUUUCGCAGCCUUUUUGUACAGUGCUGUGGAUUCUCCCCUGAAGUUUCCCGUCACAAUGGAAGCCGAAUACCGCAAGCUGAAAGCCAACUUCGCAGCGCUGCGAAAUCAGCCUUUUGCUGCGAAGUGAUUUCGCAGCCCUUUUUGUGCUUCUACGAAAUCUCGUAGACCUCGUUUUCACCUGCGAAAUGGUCCUUAGUGCUUCCCGAUAUUUGUGACCGACACUUUUGGAUAUUUUGCUUCAGAUUUUUGAUAACUAAAUCCUCAUUUUCUCCUUGUAACCCACCAAUUAUAGGAUUUCUUAGUUAUUAAGUUUGGCAAAGGGGUGAAUAACCUUAGAUAUUUUGUUUUGUAAUUUUCUUUAUAUAUAGCUCUCGGGAGCUUGUUCUUAUAUAGAAUUAUGUAAUCCGACGGGAUAUAGAUUUAUAAAUAUAUAGAAUAUACAGAGCCUUGCUCUGUUUUUUCUUUCUCUUUCAUUUUCAUUUUCUUGCUAAUCAAACUCUGAAGAUUUUUCCUCAGAUGAUGAGAGGCUAGGCUCUUCGUCUCUUGGAGCUAAGGUAACCGGGUAAGUUUUCCACAUGCAUAAAUUGGAAGUUUUGUUGUUUUAGUUUUUAAUGAAGAGAAAGUGUGACCCGUUAAUGGUUUUUAUCUUUUUAGUUAACUUAAAACGCCUUUAAUUCACCUGAGCCAACACUUGGUAAGGCAAGUGAUCUCCGUCCAUGGAGAUGCACUAGUUUAUCUCUUGCGAGCUUUUGGUAGGUGGUUUGAAGGUAGGAUUUUCUAGAAUAGCCAACACUUGUUAAGAUUUUGGACUCCAAUGAGACAUCCAUUAGUUAUCUCUUGCGAGCUUUUGAUGGGUAAUCCAAGGUUAAAGAUCACCUUGAAUGACAAAUGCUAGGUGAGAGGCACGAGUCAUUGCAAGGUGCAUCAAUGAGAGGGAUUUAGUGUUUGAACCCAUUAAUGGGAAGUAUCUGUACAACACUGGUUAGAGAAUUAACUACAUGUUAAUUCUCUAAUGCGAGGAAAAGAAACAAGUGACCAGAACUCUCCUUUUUGUAUGAGGAAUCUGAGCCUAGUGAUCUGAAACUCCAAGAAACACUUUUCUUUGUAAGUAAAAUCAGUUGCUAUUUUUGGUUAGUUUAAAACCAAACUUUUUUCAUUCAAACAUCUUUAUGUUUUCUUUUAAAGCUAACCUUGAAAUGAAAAGGCACCAAUUCAGCUUUGAAUUAAUAUCAUUUGCAAAGUGAAAACCCAUCCCAGUGAACGAUCCUAGAGCCACUAUGCUAUAAUAGCUUUGUCUUUGCUAUCCUAGUAAAUGGUGUAAUAGGUUAUAAAUUUUGUUGAUUACUCCCUCAAUCAAGGAGCACCAGCUGGACACGAAUCAACUGAGACACCAAUUGGGCAUGAAUCACACCUUCACUCGGCAAACUAUGUUGGAUAGAGCUAACCUACUCCCUCACGAAAGCCACUCGUAGCAAUCUUUGUCUCUUUUGUUUGGAAUUGUAUUUUUCGUCAACGAGACCCCCAUGAAUGUAGUUGAUGAUAGCUCUAAGAGCUUCCGAAGUUGUGGACACUUGGAUAGCCAAAUCCCGGGUGGUUUCCCUUUGUCCUUCGAUUGAGCGGAUGUAUCAUUUUAAGUGCUUGGCCUUAAUUAGUCUUUCCACUAAGUAGUGGAAACUUCUGCAUUGUUUCGUGGUGUGGCCAUGAUCUUUGUGAUAGGCACACUUCCUGUUCUAAUCCCGUUUCGUCGAAUCUGUCUUAAUUGACUCUGGCCAUCUAAAAUCAGACAGAUCACAAAUCAUGGGAAGGAGUUUGUCGUAUGAAAUGCUAAGGGGGGUCAGACUAGCUUGGCUUGGCUGCUGCUGGUCGUCUCGCUUCUUGCUGACUUGCCUUAGUUGGUUUGAGAGCUUAGAAUUUUCGGCAUGAUCGUUCCUGGCGGAUCGACGAGUGACCAGGACCUGCUGUGUAGUCUUACAAACAUCGUCUUCAAGAUGGAGUACUUGUUUACUCGUUUGAAUAGGUCAUCCAUUGUCGCUGAUAGUUUCUUAACGAGAGAUUCGAAGAAAUGCGUACUCGGACAAAUGCUUCUUUUGAAGAUUUGUAGGAUGACGUCCAUGCUACAAGACUCUACUUGGAGCACGACCUGUCCGAACAGUUUCACAAACUCCCUCAAUGAUUCAUUUUCCUACAUUUUUAUGUUUUGCGGGGUACUUAUGUUCUAUUUGUCAUGCCGAGCAUAGGUAGUGUCCCACAAAGGCUUCUGAUAGAUCCUAGAAAUUACUCACAAAAUUCUUUAGGAGAUGGUGGAACUACGAAAGGGCCUAGCCAUGUAAGCUAGUUGGAAAGACUUUGCAUAAUAGCACAUCGUUCCCUAUGUUGAGGGUCAUGAGCUGCCUAUAAUGCAUGAUAUGAUCAAACAGAUCACUUGUUUCGUCAUAUGUCAUGAAUUUUGGUACCAUGAACCCUCUUGGGGGCUAGUAGUUGAUGAUGUAAAGGCUAAAAAGCAUGGAGAGCAUGUCACCCAAUCGUCUACUGACAGAGCCAAGCAGUCCUCGUUCUGUCAGAGCCCCUACUUGUUGUUAUGCUGGUGGACGAGAAGGCCAUUCUAGCAUGACCAUUGUAAUCGAGAAACCAAGGCAGGCUUCCUGGGUCGCUGCUACACAUGGUUUCCCUUCCAUGCCAGGUGUCUGAGGUCUUAGCCGAGCUCACAUUGUGUCUGAUAGUUGUGACCUUCUAUCACACCUCUUUUUUGUGGAGAUGUGGGUAGAGUCAGAGCUUUCAUCUAACAGUGCUUGGCAAGUUGGUAGAAACUUUUCUUUAGGUCGUAUCUCCUGGCUACCAGAGAUGAACUUUGCGUCCCUAAGAAAUGACAUUUUUUCGUUUUGUUUGGAGUUUGUUCACUGGCUCUUAGGCUGUCGGCUACGAGGGGGGCUUGACGAAGACACCUGGAUGCGUAACACUUCAAUUUCUUCUCUAAGUCUCCUUGUCUCACAGAGCAAGGACUGUACCUGUCGUUUGCUCUCUUGUUGGCGUCUUUCCAUGUUUUCACACUAGUCGAAGUAGCCAUCGCUACCCAUGGCUGAUGAUCGGCUCCUUGAGGGCGUCGACAUUCUUAACAUUUCCCACAAAUAGCACCAAUGUUGAUGCGAGGUUAACUGGAGUCAGAUCCGCCUUAUGUUGUGCCACUGAGAGCUUUUACCCAGCAACAAGGGACUAAGUGAGCUUUUUCCCUACACAAAGGAUGUCCGGACAAGGUGUCUGAGCACGCCCCUCUGAAGCUUAAGUCAGACACAGGUAGGUUAGAGCUUAUAGGGAGAAAAUGAAUAAACUAGCUUAGGUGUGCAUACCUGGGUUAUGCUUUAGGAAGACUUUUUAUAGUGCUCAAGAGAAAGUUAAUGUAGUGCUGAGUAGAUACUUUGACCUUCACUGUAAUAAUGGUUAUCCUGCAGGUGGCAGAGCAAUCAUUGCAGUUUAGGGCAACUAGCAAGUUCCAUCAAAUGAUGUGUCAUAAUGUAGCUGCCCAUCAUUUCAACCUUCUGGAGAUAUGAGGCAAUGUGUGAUAAUUUGUUGACAUCAAGGAUGAAAAUAUCGGUAAUUACGGAUAUAUCGAUAUUUCGAUUUUACGGAUAUAUCGAUAUUUCGAUUUUACGGAUAUAUCGGAAAUAUAUCGAUGGAUAUUUUGAUAUAAAAUAUUAGUAGACCUAAAAUUGACCAAAACUUAUAAAAAUAUAAAAUAAAACUUUUAGAAAUGAAAUUAAAAUAUAAUAGAUAUUUUAAAAUUAUUUUAUUAAAUAAAUUAAUGUAUAUAUAAUAUUGUACGUGUCAAUAAAAAAAUAUAAAUUUGAUAAGUGUAUAUUGAUUAUUAAAUUAUAUUAAAUAUUAUUUGAUCAUUAUAUUGUGAUAUUUGAUUAUAAUAUAUUUCGAUGGAUAUUUUAACACAAAAUAUCGGUAAAUCUAAAAUUGAUCAAAACUUAUAAAAAUAUAUUAAAAAAAACUUUUAAAAAUAAAAUUAAAAACAUAAUAGACAUUUUAAAGUUAUUUUUUCGAAUAAAUUGAUAUAUAUAUAUAUAUAUAUAUAUAUAUAUAUAUAUAUAUAUAAUAUUGUACAUGUUAAUAAAAAAUAUAAAUUUGAUAAGUGUAUAUUGAUUAUUGAAUUAUAUAAAAUAUUAUUUGAUGAUAAUAUUGUGAUUAUAAUAUGUUUAAUUUUAAAAUCUGUUUAAUAUUAAAAUAGUGAUAUAUUAUAAAAUAAAUGAUAAUAAAUAUAUAAAAUAUUAAUAUAUUAAUAAUAUUAAAAACUCUAUGAAUAAAAUUAUGAUAUUUUUUACUAAUCAAUUAAAUGAAAAUUUUUCAUUUAAUUAUAAAAUAGUCAUAAUUAAUUUGUUAUUUAAAGUGUUUUUUUAAUAUUUUAUUUAUAUUCUAAGUUUUAAUAUAUAUUUCUUUAGAGUGUCAUAUUUAUCAAAGAGCAUGUUUGCCCUAGUGGAACUGGGCCUGACAUAGAAAUCUUUUGUUGGGGGUUCGAAUCCCCCCAACAGCAGGAAGAAAAAAAGCUUAAUUUUGACCGUUGACCGCCUGUGUUGACCGAGCGUUGACCGGCGAUAUAUCUCUGCUGCACCCACCGACACACCGAUAUUUCGCCGAAAUAUCGCCUAAUUCCAAAGGGAAUGAUUACACGUAGCAAGGGAGUUCCGAGCACUGUGGCAAUUAUCUGGACAAUGCUGAGGGAAGUGACGCAUGGACUGACACGUGGAAGGUCCCUACAAUUACUACUCCUCAUUCACGUCUACCAAACAGGCCUUUGGGAUGAAAAUUAUAUACGUCAAUUCCAAGUUUCCAACCCAACACAAUUAUAUUAUUCACCUAAAUCACACUAAACCCAAUUUCCAUUUUUUUGGUGCAUCCAACCUGGAAUAUGUACAUUUUAAUGUAAUUCCUGCACAAAUGAGAAAAGUGAAUAAGCCAUCUUCCUCGACAUUCUUCUUGUAAAUUGAAGAGCAAGAUUUAUUUAUUUAUUUAUUUAUUUGCAUUUUAAAAACCAAUGUGAAAUUUGUCUUUUGAUUUUGAGCAUCCAUGAUGCCGAUAUGUACAUUUCAAUUACCACAUGAAGCAGGAAGUUCAAUCUUAAAUACCGAACAUCAAGCAGAAACCACUACACCCAGUAGAUGUAGAUUUUAAUAUUCAAUGGGUUCAUUCCAAUUGCCACAUUAUUUUCAGCAACCAGAACUCAAAAAAAGCCACACAAAUAACACGAUUAUAAGGAUAUGGGGGAUCGGAUACCUUAUUUUAUUUCCCAGUAUAAUUUUGAGACAAUCAAAUUCUGAGCUGCAGAGUCUGAAAUCCAAUAAAGGAGCUUUGGAGUCUAUGGUGGUGUACCGGGAUGAACCAUCACCUUCCAAAUUAAAAUUCUAGGGCUAUACCACAAACAGAAUUCUGAGAUGUAUUGGGUAUUACAUGAUGAAUAACCCAAGAAAACUAGUACCGUAGAAGAGCUUCAAAGGGAAGAGAAAAUGGGAACACCCGGCAGGGUUGCGCCUGCAUCGACAUUGAAAACGUUACCUGAUAUGUAUCGUGAAGAAUCAUGAAUCAAGUAUCGCACCAGGGAUGUCAAUGCAGGGUCCGAUGUUCCAUAGGCCCGCAAGGGGCAUGUUCUCUGAACCACAGUGUUGAGCCAGUCUUUUUGCAUAAGGCCCGCAGUUAUCUCCGAUUUGAAUAUUCCAGGUGCUAUUGCAUUCGCUCUAAUAUUGUAUGCCCCCAAUUCCAAAGCCAUUACCUGGAAUUGUUAUUAUUUGGAAAAAAAAUAAAUAAAUAAUCAUUCUUCAGUGCCAGACUCAGAUGAGUGUGUAGGAAUAAAGGUUCUACAACAUUUUUGCAUGGAAAAACAGUUGAAGAUGGCAGGAAAUAUACAAUAAAAUGUCGAAUCGAAAUAAGUAUAAUGCUAUAUAAACACAAGCCCUUAACCAGAUUUACAGAAAAUGACUUACAUCUUGGAUAGACAAACUGUACGUAUCAUGCAAAAGCGGAGAAUAAUAUUGGGAUUUUUUGCAUGGGAAGCAAGGUGAGAAGAAUAUUGACUUUUUGUACAUUGAUUUUUAUCUUCUCUUUUUAUACAUUUUAUAUACUCCUCAUGCUUAUUAAAAAAAAAAAAAGACAAAAAUAAUAUUAAAAAUUAAAAAUAAAAUAACAAGACAAGCAUAAUAUAGUGAACAUAAACAUUUGACUACAUUUUCACAAUAUAUUUAAAUCUAACGUUGAAUUUCCUAACUCACCUUUGUUUGCCAGAAUAUAUUAGAAACAAAUUUAAAACAUGUCAGAGAUAUUACCUUUGUCAUGGCGCUCAAGCCUGACUUGGAAGACACAUAGGCUACUGCUCCAGGUGACUGUCCCCGAUUAAGAGAAACAAUGGAAGAAAUAUUGAUGAUUGAUCCUCCAUUCUUGGCAUCCCUCAUGCGCAUACCGACAUAUUUUGACACCAACCAUGAUCCCGUCAAGUUUGUCUUCAGAGUAUUGUUCCAUUCCUCCUCAGAUAUAUCCAGAGGAGAGUUCACAUUGCCUAAGGCACACAGGGCACAGGGCAUGGGUUAAAUACAUCUACCACGCAUUACGUUCACAAAUAUUAGCAGAACACCAGAGAUAAAUUAAAUGAGUAAUAUUGAUGAGAAAAAUAUAUGUGAUUGACUCGGUAUAGAUACCCAGUUGACUUGGUAUAGAUACCCAGUUGACUCGCUGAUUAGUUUCAAAUUUCAGUUAGAACUGAAUGAAAUGAAACGUGCGCUAGAAUUGACAGUAUGAGAAAAACAAGGUUUCCAAAAGUCAGCUGCAAAACGGGAAAUUCAGGAUACAGGAAUAUCAGGAUCGUGCAAAAUCAAAAUUUACCUCUAAUGCCCGCAUUAUUUAGCAAA